rnacentral:rRNA from 3 species
AAAUUGAAGAGUUUGAUCAUGGCUCAGAUUGAACGCUGGCGGCAGGCCUAACACAUGCAAGUCGAACGGUAACAGGAAGCAGCUUGCUGCUUUGCUGACGAGUGGCGGACGGGUGAGUAAUGUCUGGGAAGCUGCCUGAUGGAGGGGGAUAACUACUGGAAACGGUGGCUAAUACCGCAUAACGUCGCAAGACCAAAGAGGGGGACCUUCGGGCCUCUUGCCAUCAGAUGUGCCCAGAUGGGAUUAGCUUGUUGGUGAGGUAACGGCUCACCAAGGCGACGAUCCCUAGCUGGUCUGAGAGGAUGACCAGCCACACUGGAACUGAGACACGGUCCAGACUCCUACGGGAGGCAGCAGUGGGGAAUAUUGCACAAUGGGCGCAAGCCUGAUGCAGCCAUGCCGCGUGUAUGAAGAAGGCCUUCGGGUUGUAAAGUACUUUCAGCGGGGAGGAAGGUGUUGUGGUUAAUAACC